UACAGGGGGUGCAAGCGUUAAUCGGAAUUACUGGGCGUAAAGCGUGCGCAGGCGGUUCGCCAAGUCAGGUGUGAAAUCCCCGGGCUUAACCUGGGAAUUGCGCUUGAAACUAGCGGGCUUGAGUGUGGCAGAGGGGGGUGGAAUUCCACGUGUAGCAGUGAAAUGCGUAGAGAUGUGGAGGAACACCGAUGGCGAAGGCAGCCCCCUGGGUCAACACUGACGCUCAUGCACGAAAGCGUGGGGAGCAAACAGG
rnacentral:rRNA from 1 species